AGAGGAAGGGGACUUAAUGGCAGGCCUAGACCUAAUGAUGGUUGUGACCCUAAACUGCUUCCUUUGAGGUGCUCUGUAAAGUUUCCAAUGAUGAACCAGUUUGAUUUCACCAAUGUUCACCGACAGAACCAAUGACAAUAUGGACCUUACUUAUAGAGCAUGGGUGAGGUAUUACCGACAAGAGUCUAUUACAGGUUCCUGCUGGCAGCAGCUUAUUUAGUAUCUGUAAAUCCAUUGUUCCUGUCCCUGUGGGGAUCUGUAUUUCACCAAGUCUUGGUCACUGCAAAGUCAUAUAAGUUGUCCAGCCAUCACAGUGUCAGCUGGCUAGUGUUAGAGGCACACAGCUGGAAAAACCGGUCCACAUUUGGCAACUGAGAAGGUGAAAACAAAAAGGGAGAAAACAACUGGACAUGUGACUGAACUUCUCUGUAAGCCCAAAAAAAAUCUUUCCUUCUCUAGGUUGCCUGGGUCAUGGAGUAUUAUCACAGCAACAGAAAAGUAAAUAAUAUAAGGAGACAGUACAUGUGGCGUAGGCACGUAGGCCCAAAACAGCAAACGAAAGAAGGAAUGUCAUGGUCUUG